rnacentral:rRNA from 1 species
UCUUACACCCUGGGCCACAAACACACUACAAUGGCGAAUAACAACGAGUUGCAAGCUAGUAAUAGCAAGCUAAUCUCUAAAAUUUCGCCUCAGUUCAGAUUGGGGUCUGCAACCCGACCCCAUGAAGUCGGAAUUGCUAGUAAUCGCGGAUCAGCGUGCCGCGGUGAAUACGUUCUCGGGUCUUGUACACACCGCCCGUCUUAAUUAGGCGGCCUAAGGAUGUGAAUCUUUAGGUAAACCAGCUAAUAU